GACACGCUGGCGGCAGGCCUAACACAUGCAAGUCGAGCGAGACCUUCGGGUCUAGCGGCGGACGGGUGAGUAACGCGUGGGAACGUGCCCUUCUCUGCGGAAUAGCCACUGGAAACGGUGAGUAAUACCGCAUACGCCCUUCGGGGGAAAGAUUUAUCGGAGAAGGAUCGGCCCGCGUCUGAUUAGGUAGUUGGUGGGGUAAUGGCCUACCAAGCCUACGAUCAGUAGCUGGUUUUAGAGGAUGAUCAGCCACACUGGGACUGAGACACGGCCCAGACUCCUACAGGAGGCAGCAGUGGGGAAUCUUAGACAAUGGGCGCAAGCCUGAUCUAGCCAUGCCGCGUGAGUGAUGAAGGCCCUAGGGUCGUAAAGCUCUUUCGCCAGGGAUGAUAAUGACAGUACCUGGUAAAGAAACCCCGGCUAACUCCGUGCCAGCAGCCGCGGUAAUACGGAGGGGGUUA
rnacentral:rRNA from 1 species